rnacentral:rRNA from 1 species
GUGGGGAAUAUUGGGCAAUGGGCGAAAGCCUGACCCAGCAACGCCGCGUGAAGGAAGACGGUCUUCGGAUUGUAAACUUCUUUGAUUGGGGAAGAAACAAAUGACCUACCCAAAGAACAAGUCACGGCUAACUACGUGCCAGCAGCCGCGGUAAUACGUAGGUGACAAGCGUUAUCCGGAUUUACUGGGCGUAAAGGGCGUGUAGGCGGUCUUACAAGUCAGAUGUGAAAUUCCCGGGCUCAACUUGGGCGCUGCAUCUGAAACUGCAAGACUUGAGUGCUGGAGGGGAUAGCGGAAUUCCUAGUGGAGCGGUAAAAUGCGCAGAGAUUAGGAAGAACACCGGUGGCGAAGGCGGCUAUCUGGACAGUAACUGACGCUGAGGCGCGAAAGCGUGGGGAGCAAACAGG